UUAAAACAGCUUAGUCGGUAGAGCAGGAGACUUUUAAUCUCAGGAUUGUGGGUUUGAGUCCCAUGCUGGGCAAAA